rnacentral:rRNA from 1 species
GGACUACAGGGGUAUCUAAUCCUGUUUGCUCCCCACGCUUUCGCGCCUCAGCGUCAGUUACGGACCAGGUCGCCGCCUUCGCCACCGGUGUUCUUCCCAAUAUCUACGAAUUUCACCUCUACACUGGGAAUUCCACGACCCUCUUCCGCACUCAAGCGGUAACGUAUCAAAUGCAGUCCCCAGGUUGAGCCCAGGAAUUUCACAUCUGACUAUUGCCGCCGCCUACGCGCCCUUUACGCCCAGUCAUUCCGAGCAACGCUAGCCCCCUUCGUAUUACCGCGGCUGCUGGCAC